rnacentral:rRNA from 1 species
AUACAGGGGGUGCGAGCGUUGCUCGGAAUCACUGGGCGUAAAGCGGGUGUAGGCGGUCUAGCAAGUCAGAUGUGAAAGCCCACGGCUCAACCGUGGAAGUGCAUCUGAAACUGCUAGACUUGAGUGCCGGAGAGGGAAGUGGAAUUCCUGGUGUAGGGGUGAAAUCCGUAGAUAUCAGGAGGAACACCGGUGGCGAAGGCGACUUCCUGGACGGCCACUGACGCUGAGACCCGAAAGCGUGGGGAGCAAACAGGAUUAGAAACCCUAGUAGUCC